rnacentral:lncRNA from 1 species
AUUUUUUUUCAUUGGAAACCAAUUUUCGUGGAUUUCGUGAGAACAGUUGGACCACGAAAUAAAAUGUUCAACGAAUACAAAAUUUUCUAUAGGCUUGUUUGCAUACUUCAGCAAAACCACGAAAUUAAAUAUCCACGAACAUGUAAGUUUUCCUCAAGCCACGAAAAUUGGUUCCCACGAAAAUAAAUGAAUCCACAGUAUA